UCGGGGAUGUCCUUAGUGGCGCACGGGUGAGUAACGCGUGGGAAUCUGUCCAGGUGUGGGGAAUAACUACGGGAAACUGUAGCUAAUACCGCAUACGCCCUACGGGGGAAAGCAGGGGAUCUUCGGACCUUGCGCUAUUGGAUGAGCCUGCGUUGGAUUAGCUUGUUGGUGGGGUAAAGGCCUACCAAGGCGACGAUCAGUAGCUGGUUUGAGAGGAUGAUCAGCCACACUGGGACUGAGAUACGGCCCAGACUCC
rnacentral:rRNA from 1 species